rnacentral:rRNA from 1 species
GACGAACGCUGGCGGCGUGCUUAACACAUGCAAGUCGAACGGAAAGGCCCUGCUUUUGUGGGGUGCUCGAGUGGCGAACGGGUGAGUAACACGUGAGUAACCUGCCCUUGACUUUGGGAUAACUUCAGGAAACUGGGGCUAAUACCGGAUAGGAGCUCCUGCUGCAUGGGGGGGGUUGGAAAGUUUCGGCGGUUGGGGAUGGACUCGCGGCUUAUCAGCUUGUUGGUGGGGGAGUGGCUUACGAAGGCUUUGACGGGUGGUCGGCCUUGGAGGGUGGACGCCCACAUUGGGCCUGAGGUACGGCCCAGACUCCUACGGGAGACAGCAGUGGGGAAUAUUGCACAAUGGGCGGAAGCCUGAUGCAGCAACGCCGCGUUCGGGAUGACGGCCUUCGGGUUGUAAACCGCUUUCGCCUGUGACGAAGCGUGAGUGACGGUAAUGGGUAAAGAAGCACCGGCUAACUACGUG